UACGGGGGGGGUAAGCGUUGUUCGGAAUUACUGGGCGUAAAGGGCUCGUAGGCGGCCAACUAAGUCAGACGUGAAAUCCCUCAGCUUAACUGGGGAACUGCGUCUGAUACUGGAUGGCCUGGAUUUGGGAGAGGGAUGCGGAAUUCCAGGUGUAGCGGUGAAAUGCGUAGAUAUCUGGAGGAACACCGGUGGCGAAGGCGGCAUCCUGGACCAAUAUUGACGCUGAGGAGCGAAAGCCAGGGGAGCGAACAGG
rnacentral:rRNA from 1 species